GGAUCGCCCUUACGGGGCGCAGCAGGCGCGAAAACUUUACAAUGCAGGAAACUGUGAUAAGGGAACCCCGAGUGCCCGUAUACGCGGGCUGUCCGGGUGUAUAAAAAGCAUCUGAAGAAAGGGCCGGGCAAGACCGGUGCCAGCCGCCGCGGUAAUACCGGCGGCUCGAGUGGUGACCACUUUUAUUGGGCUUAAAGCGUUCGUAGCUGGACUCUUAAGUCUCUUGGGAAAUCCCGCGGCUCAACCGUGGGGCGUUUAAGAGAUACUGGGAGUUUAGGAACCGGGAGAGGUAAGAGGUACUUCGGGGGUAGAAGUGAAAUUCUGUAAUCCUCGAGGGACCACCGAUGGCGAAGGCAUCUUACCAGAACGGCUUCGACAGUGAGGAACGAAAGCUGGGGGAGCGAACGGGAUUAGAUACCCCGGUAGUCCCAGCCGUAAACGAUGCGCGUUAGGUGUACUGGUGACCACGAGUCACUGGGGUGCCGAAGGGAAACCGUGAAACGUGCCGCCUGGGAAGUACGGUCGCAAGGCUGAAACUUA
rnacentral:rRNA from 1 species